UCCUAGCAGAGCAGAAAUCCUCACUAAGUUUAACCGGAUUUUCUCUGACAACUUUUCUAAGUAUAUUACCUUUGUUGCAAUUAAAGAAAACGUAAACUUAGUAUGUGACCACAGCUGUGACUUGCAUUAUAUUUCUGUUGGACAGAAUGCUUACUGUGAACAGCCUUGCCUUCCAGAGCAUGUUUCCGUGGCCUAGAGAUGGGAAGCUCAGUGAAGGCAGAGAUGGCACAUAAUAGCAUUCAGCUGGUGUUCUGGCUGGAUAGAUGCGUGGGUAUGCAGAUGGAUGGAAAGAGUAAAACAGGCAUGAAUGUCACUGAGGGAUUGUCACUGAUGUCACCUCAAGCUUCAGCCUCACUGCUGUGUUGUGAUCAUAAUAGUCUAACAGAGCCACCAGCCCAGUGGAAAUCCAUGUGCUGCUUGUUUCUUCAAUUUCUUGUGGCUGAACCAAUGACGAUGACGGUUUCAGGAAAAGAAGAAGAUAGAAAGUCCUUCCAAGCCAUGACUGAGGUAAUGAGCUACAAAGCUUGACUAAGCCAGGGUUAAUCUCUUCUGUUUCUUCACAUGACUUAAAGGCAGUGACCUCAUUCGUGGGCUCUCAUCCUACUGUCACUCCCAGUUGAAAGGUCCUCCAUCACCCUGUCUAAUCAUUCGGAUCCUCCAGUUCCUUCCA